UACGUAGGGUGCAAGCGUUGUCCGGAAUUACUGGGCGUAAAGCGUGCGCAGGCGGUUAUGUAAGACAGAUGUGAAAUGCCCGGGCUUAACCUGGGAACUGCAUUUGUGACUGCAUGGCUAGAGUUUGGCAGAGGGGGGUAGAAUUCCACGUGUAGCAGUGAAAUGCGUAGAUAUGCGGAGGAACACCGAUGGCGAAGGCAAUCCCCUGGGCCUGCACUGACGCUCAUGCACGAAAGCGUGGGGAGCAAACAGG
rnacentral:rRNA from 1 species